GGGUAGAGGAAUUCGAAUCCCACUCCCAUUCCCACGUUGAAACUGCCCCUCCCCACUCCCUAAAUCUCUCCCAUAUCUAUCAACGUCCCCUUCCUCUAUAAUACUCUCUUCACAAAUCAGAUUUCACCCAUUUAAGUUUCUCUGCAACAAGAAAAUUGUGGAUGAAGACGAGGAGUAUAAUCCAACUCAAGAAGAUGAGGAAAUCGACUGUUCAGAAGAUAAAAGUAAGAUUGAGGGAGAAAGUGAUGUAUGUGACGUGAAAUUGGGGGAGAACAGAGAGGAAGAAAGGAGCUGCGUUCUGCGACGGAGGAAGGGCGAAUCAGCGGGCAGCGACGGACAGCAGCCGCUGCGAUCUGACUGAGGGAAAAGUAAGGAGCGCGGGUUGCCGGCAAUGAAGACCGAGCAGCGACGACGCUAUCGGCAUACAGUAACAACAGGGAUGUGAGGAAGGCAGCGAAGGAGAUAGAAGCGGCGACGACGCUGCAAUUUGGAGCGUGGGGCAGCGGCGACGGAGAGACCAGACCGGAAUUGAGAGCGGGGAGGCAACGGCUGUUCGGGGGCGGUGACUUCGCCGAAGAAGGACGACGGACAGCACGGGGUUGUACAGCAGCAGCGGCUGACCCGGCGACUACGCCGACAGCACCAUGGCGGCAGCGUCAUAUCUUCUCGGCGAGCAGUGGCCUGUGGCGUGGAGUGAAUCGGGAAGGCUGGACGGAGGAAGGGUGAAUUAGCGAGCAGCAGCAGCAGCUCCUGCUGCGUCGCGGCGUUGGCGGCAGUGGGGCUGUGUUUUUGCCGGCGACAACCAGCGAAAGAGAGAAAGAAGCAAAUUAAGGAUUCUAUUUCGUACAUCAAUUGCAAUUUGGGGAAGAGGUGUGAAAGUGGAAGAAUGGAGUAUAUGUGUGUAUUUGAGUUGGAAUUGAUUUGUGUUGAAACAAAUUAAUUGAAUGGAAGAUUGGGCCGAGCACUUUAAAUCAAUGGGGACUUCACGCAUGCUUUUCGAGGAUGGAAUGAAACACAAGUUAAAGCUUUUAAGCAAACGAGGUUGAGCGGUGACGAGCGCGGUGGGUGUUGAGCAUAAAAGUGGAGAAUGUCUAUCAAAUGCU